rnacentral:tRNA from 1 species
GCUGUUGUGGUUCAGUGGUAGAAUCCUCAUCUGCCACAUGAGAGACUUGGGUUUGAUUCCUAGACGUGCGUA